GGAGUUUGGUCCGUGUCUCAGUACCAAUGUGGGGGACCUUCCUCUCAGAACCCCUACUGAUCGUCGCCUCGGUGGGCCGUUACCCCGCCGACAAGCUAAUCAGACGCAUCCCCAUCCCUUAGCGGUGAACCUUUGCUUCCCAUCAGAUGCCAUCCAGGAAGAACAUAGAGUAUUAAUCCGACUUUCGCCGGGCUAUCCUCUACUAAGGGGAAGGUUGGAUACGCGUUACUCACCCGUGCGCCGGUCGUCAGCAAGAAAAGCAAGCUUCUCUCCUGUUACCCCUCGACUUGCAUGUGUUAAGCCUGUAGCUAGCGUUCAUC
rnacentral:rRNA from 1 species